CUUGAUCGAGCCCAGCAGCAGCGGGGUCGCCCGGUCCUGCCCGUAGGUGGCGAGCAGCGCCUGCGCCUC
rfam:Micromonospora carbonacea strain JXNT-1 contig1, whole genome shotgun sequence.